rnacentral:sRNA from 1 species
GUCAACAUGAUUUGUGUUCUCAACAUUGCUAUGUCCGUG